UAUAAUCAUUAAAGUGUGGUAUAUAUAAUCAUUAAAGUGUGGUUAUAAAGGUCAAUUUUUUUGAGAAAAAAAAGAACAACCCCUUUCACCAGGCUGGCUACGGGACCUUACUCUCACGCUUUCACAAAUUGGAGUCCAAAUGACGACGAACGAUACACGUUAACCAAUGAGGUUUGUAUUCAGCUUUGUCCUCGCUUUUUCUCUUAUAUGGUGUUUGGCGCACUCUCUUUUUGUAAACAAAAGGAGUAGGUCGUUGCCAUUUGCGCGCCGUAUUUGCAUUGAUGACAAUUUCAAGUCAGCAGUGCCUUAAUUAUUCAAACAAAACUAUAGAUUAGACGAAGAAGGCUUGAAAUACAGCACUCAAAUCAGAUUGAUUUCAUGGCCCUUUAUGUAGUCCUUGUGUUUCCCACGUGAAAGGGGAAAGUCAUGAAGGUGAUGGAAUGAUGACAGCAUUUUCACUUUUCUGCUCCUCUUUGUGAACUAUGCCACACAUCUACCCUUCAGUUCUUUCAUAAAGUGUAUUGGCCUCCAGACUCUUCUGAUCCAGUUUCUAGUGAUACAUCGCACCGGCGUUCGCGUGGCGGCACAGUCAUUAGGCAAAAGUGGCGGUAAUAUCACAGGCCUGGAAUGUCGGCCCACGUAUUUGGAGCUGCAUGAAAAUGUUUUGGACCACGACUGCGAAUCCUGCCUGCCACACGUCAUCAAAGCCUCUAAUGUUGGCUGGCUUAGGCGUGCACACUGUAGCAGGUACACUGUGCUCUUUGUUUACCCUCUUCUUUUACCAAUCUGGUGCACAGAUGGCUAACAAUUAUU
rnacentral:lncRNA from 1 species